rnacentral:rRNA from 1 species
AUCCAUAUGCUCACAUAUGGGCCGCCGGGAAUACUACAAAGCUAGGGAGUGGGAGAGGUAGACGGUACUCCGUAGGAAGGGGUAAAAUCCUUUGAUCUAUGGAUGACCACCAGUGGCGAAGGCGGUCUACCAGAACACGUUCGACGGUGAGGGAUGAAAGCUGGGGGAGCAAACCGGAUUAGAUACCCGGGUAGUCCCAGCUGUAAACUAUGCAAACUCAGUGAUGCAUUGGCUUGUGGCCAGUGCAGUGCCGCAGAGAAGUCGUUAAGUUUGCCGCCUGGGAAGUACGUACGCAAGUAUGAAACUUAAAGGAAUUGGCGGGGGAGCACCACAAGGGGUGAAGCCUGCGGUUCAAUUGGAGUCAACGCCAGAAAUCUUACCCGGAGAGACAGCAGAAUGAAGGUCAAGUUGAAGCCUUUACCAGACAGGCUGAGAAGUGGUGCAUGGCCGUCGCCAGCUCGUGCCGUGAGGUGUCCUGUUAAGUCAGGUAACGAGCGAGAUCCUUGCCUCUAGUUGCUACCAUUACUCUCAGGAGUAGUGGGGCGAAUUAGCGGGACUGCCGUAGUUAAUACGGAGGAAGGAGAGGGCCACGGCAGGUCAGUAUGCCCCGAAAAUCG